rnacentral:rRNA from 1 species
UGACUGGGGUGAAGUCGUAACAAGGUAGCCGUAGGAGAACCUGCGGCUGGAUCACCUCCUUUCUAAGGAAUAA